AGCAGCCGCGGUAAUUCCAGCUCCAAUAGCGUAUAUUAAAGUUGUUGCAGUUAAAAAGCUCGUAGUUGAAUUUCGGGAUCAAUAUGUCGGUCGUGCCUUCGGUACGCACUGGUAUCAUUGGUUUCUCCUUUCUGACGAACCAUGAUGUCAUUAAUUUGGUGUUAUGGGGAGUUAGGACUGUUACUUUGAAAAAAUUAGAGUGUUUAAAGCAGGCUUUAGCUUGAAUACAUUAGCAUGGAAUAAUGAAAUAGGACGUUCGAACCUAUUUUGUUGGUUUCUAGGAUCAACGUAAUGAUUAAUAGGGAUAGUUGGGGGCAUUAGUAUUCAAUUGUCAGAGGUGAAAUUCUUGGAUUUAUUGAAGACUAACUACUGCGAAAGCAUUUGCCAAGGAUGUUUUCAUUAAUCAAGAACGAAAGUUAGGGGAUCGAAGACGAUCAGAUACCGUCGUAGUCUUAACCAUAAACUAUGCCGACUAGGGAUCGGAUGAUGUUAAUUUUUUAAUGACUCA
rnacentral:rRNA from 2 species